AUGAACAGGGCAAUGCGGCAACUGAAAAAUCUGUUUGCAGUCAGAAACAAGCGCUCUUCCUCGACACGAAAAUCUGCACUAAUGACAAAUAAAGGACUCGGCCAACGGAAGCGGCGUCGUUCCAUGGAGAGGACCACUACGGAGCAAGACACUUUACGGAUCUCGAAGGCAGCCAAACAACCGAAAACAGACUCGGGAGCUUUUACCCCUGAAUACUAUAUUUUGCAAGGACAAGCGCUCAAAUAUGCCGGAGACAAAGAAAAUUCUUCAAUAGGCUUGGCUAAGAAGUAUCUUGAGGCUGCCAUAUGUUAUAUUGUAGGCGGUUCCAUAGAUGAAGCAACAACGAAUUCGAUUUAUUGUUUACGUGUGAUUCAAAAGCUGUUUUUGGAUACUCGCACCCUGAUUCAGCACGCGGUCUCUGGCCUGAUUACCACGCCAUAUAGGCAUAGGGGAGAACAAGAAAACCGCCUGAUCGUACUAUUACGAAGGGUCUAAGCAUUCCUUAGUUAUCGAGUUCAUAUUGUCGUCUGCCGUAUACGCGAACUUCGUAACGAACAGACUACAACUUUGGCCGAAUUAAUUGACAGCAAUAGCGAAGAAAUGAGCCAAACGUUUAUCCUUCAAGAUGCCGCGAAUGACCUCUGGGAGGAGUCGUGCACUUAUAUAACCAAAGCAGAUAUUAAAGACUUUUUCGAUGACGUGGUUAGGGCGUCGAGUUUUAGCGGGACCGUCGACCAAUUUAUGGAGCCGAACGAAUUCGUCAUGUUUAUCCAAAAGACUCUGCUCCGGAUGGAAGAAGUCACGUGUUAAUAUAAAUGAAAGCCAAUGAACUCUAGUAACCCUCAUAGCACCAGUGGCUACCGAGGGACAUACCGGUGAAGAAGACACAGUAUGGCCUAAAAAGCUGACUGUGGAGAACCUGGCAACAAAUAGGGUCAUUCGAGAAAAUGAACAUGAAAUAUUUUAGAUCACACUCAGGAUGUUUUGGAGUGAGCGAAUCAACAAUUGUAAAUAUAUAGUGA